UUCAAUGCAAAAGCUGGCAUCCUGGGCAGCUAAGCUGAGCGCACUGGGAGCCUUACAACUGCACUGCAACCAGCAAGCGUCAGGCCUGUCAAAGAUGUGACAGGUCUGGGCAUUCCCCAGCCAGGACUUUGUGCAUGAGUGCAUUAGCUGGAGGCUAUGGCACCUUGUACCCGCCUUUCACCAGGGGAUCGUUGGCCCUGGCAUUUACAGGGCUGCCAUGCUGCCAGCAGUCCCAUCAAGCCUCACUACCCUGGGAGGGUGCAGUUUUAGUGGUCAUGCCCAGGACCUGGGCCUCCUCCUUUCCCAUAGCCCCAUCCCAUACCUCCAAGUUCAUCCUGGCAGGGGAACAAGCUCAGCAGGGACAUAUUCUUCCCCUACUGGCUAGUGAUGCCAUUAGUGCCCUCUUUAGCCGAGAGCAGGGAAUUACCUGGCUUUUAAAAAAAUUAAAAAAGGAAAUCCGUGCAGACGGAGUGAGGAGGGUGGCACUCAGUCCAUCUGCAGGUGGAUCUUGGGGAACCCCAGCAGCAGCACCUUCAAGAAUACCAGCUGCUCCACCAAAGCAGGAUCCAAGCAGGUGCAGUGGGGUGUCACAACAUCCCCAGCAAUGCUGAAAACCCUCUCACUUGGAACACUGGUUGGUGGACAGGACAGGUGUUGCUGGGCAACUGUGGCCAGAUCCUGCCACAUCUGGCUGAGGCUUGCCUAGUAGGCCAAGGGGUCCCAGUCCAGUGGCUCCACAUCCUCAGCGAGAUAGGUAGCCAACGAUCCCUCGGCACCACCUGCCCAAAGCUGGGGUCUGGUGCGUUUGGAACCCAGCAUUGAAGCCAUGCCCAUGGUCCACAUUGGCAGUGGCCGGUGUGGAGGAGACUGGCUGGUGCUGGUGCUGGCGCCAGUGCUGGUGCUGGGAGUGCUGGCAUGGGAAAGUGGAUCCCCCUCUUCCACAUCCCCUCACCUCUGUACUUCAGUCUCCCUGACUUUGUUGACCAGCACCUGCGUCCAGUGAUUGAGGGCUUUGGUGCUGCCAGUGCACAUGCUCCCCUUCACCCUCAGGUUGCAUGUGGCUGCCAUCAUGUGGACUGUACUGGACUGCAAGGGAUCCAGCAAUCUCCAGAUGCCCUCCUUCAGCUGCCUCACCAGUGCCUGCACGUCUGGUGACACUGGCCUGCCCCAGCCAGGAACAUUGAUCCCCUGGAACUUCUCCAUUUGGUUGUCAAGUUUCCUUACUAUGGGGAUCACCUGGCUGAGGAGGGCAUCGCCAGCACUAAGGGUCUCAGUGGCCUCGAGGAGGGGCUUGAAGACAAAGUUGGCAUCAUGGACAGCCUUCACCAUAUUGACCCCGUUGUCGGUGACCAUGAACCCGCGGGUGAGCUCGGCUUGCCCAACAAGCCACCCCUGCACCAUGCAGUUCAUGGGUCCCAUGAUCUCCCUUGCCGUGUGGGACUCAUCCAGCACCUUGGCUUGGAGGAGAGCCCACCGAUGGCCUGACUGAUUGCACCAGUGCCCUGUGAGGGAGAGGUAGGUGUGAUUGCCACCCCAGCUGCUCCAGAUGUCAGAGGUGAAGUGCAAGGCUACCUGUGGCCCUGCCUCAUGCAGCUCCUCCCUCAAGUACUCCCUGCAUGCCUCAUACAGGGAGGGUACCACUGUCCUGCUAAAGGUGGUGCAUGCGGGCACUUUGUAAGAUGGGGCCAGAAGCGCCAUGAGCUGCCUGAACCCAGGCCGCUUAACUAGGGAGAAGGGCUGGCUAUCCAGAGCAAGCAUCUCCCCAAUGCUCUGGGUAAUCUUGCUCGCUUUUGCAACUCAACCCCCUUUCUGUCCACCUUUCCCCCACUGCUCCAGGGUGGCCUGCCUCUGCUUUGCAGGGAAGGAGGCUUUGGAGUGAGUGGGGGACUUGCCUUUUGGCAUGCUCGCGUUGGUGCUAGGCUGAGCAGCAAGAAAGGCAAGGGGUUGCUGCCUCUUGAGAUGCAGCAGCAUCGCCGUGGUGGAAAAGUGUUUCACGUCCUUGCCCAGCUGAUGUGCCUUAAGCAGUGCUGGCAGAUAGCAAACCUGGGAUCAUCUGCCAGCUCAAAAUGCUCCCACACUAUGCUACUCAACCACCUCUGGCAGGUGGAGGAGACAGUGAUUCUGCUGCUGGUGCCUAUUUCUGGAGUUAGGGGAGGUGGUGCAGGUGCAGGGACAUCAGGUGCAGAUACUGCUUCCGCCUCCUUGCUUCCACUGGCAGAAGAAGCAUCAUGGUUGCUUGGGAAGAGUAUGUUUGCUGGGGGGGCACUUAACAGCUCUAGCUCUCCCCCUACCCCCUCUCCCUCCCUUGCCAGAAGACCUGGCACCUGCCUUUCCAGCAUGCUUCAUAUUAAUCUUUCUUGUGCUACAAAAGGUGUGUCUGUCUGACUUCUUCUAGCUUGUGUGAAUUGUUUGCUUUGCUUUCUGUAGACUGAGGCUUGCUUGUUGCUGUCUUGUAACUAAAGUAUACGGUGUGUGUGUUUGUGUUGUUUUCUGGUCAUGUGGUCUCUGCCCUGACUGAGUGGGUGACUGUCUGACUUCUCCCUCUUCUUCUUCUGGGUUGCGUUUCUUUGUUGCGUGUUCUGUGUUGUGUAGUGUACCUAAAAUUUCAUGUUCUUUCUGAAUCUAUCUGACUUCUUCUGUGUUCUCUUUAGUCAGUAUGUAAACUAUUAAAACUAACUAUAAGUAAUAAUAUUAAUAACUAAUGUAAUAGCUGUACAAUCUCUUCUAUAAAUAUCUGAUUUUUCUUCUUGUAUAUGUGUACAAGUGUGUGCAUGUGAGUGCCUCCCUGCACAGUGAUGGAUCACACUGCCAGGGAAAACACUAAGCUUUCUUUUUUACAAGUUUGUAAAAAAAGAAAAAAAAAAAAAGAAAAAAAAGAGCAAAUAUAAAUUGAAAGAAAUGAAUUGGAUAGUAUUAAGUAAAGAAAUUCUAAGCUAAGCUAAACUAAGCUAAGCUAAAUCCUAUUCAAUCCUUUCUAAGAACAAAAAGGAGCAGGCAAGUUGCAACUGACUGACUAUGAAGCAAGCCAGGCAGCACAGUACCUUUCUGAUGCUGUUGCUUACUCAGAACCAGCUCACAAAAGGCACAGCAAGCCUGCAGACAGAGGCUUUGAUGCUGCUUCUAUGUCCCUCCCCACAGACACUGUAAUUGGAAGGGCAGUCAAAGAGAAAUCAUGCUCACUGGCCACCUAGACAUGUCAGUCCUCCCCCCGCACUGCUCCCCCUCCCCCUUCUAAGUUUCUGUUUCCCCAUACAGAUGGUCCUCAAAAUCGCCAGAUCUUUUCCGAAUCGAUUCGGAAGCUCCGAAAGCCAAAAGCAUCUAGCGAUUCUAUUCAGACUCACAGAUUCGGCCUCUGAAUCGUCUGAAUUAUCUCCAAAUCCGAAUUGCAGUCCAAAGCUUUGCACAGUCCUAGUUAAUAUGAUGCAGCUUGAACAGUAAAUGGCAGGAUCCCCAGAGCUGGGAGUUCAGAGAGCAAAAGAAAAAGCUAAAUUAAAACCAUGCGUUUAAUUUGUAAUGACAAAUUACAGAAGAAGCUUAUUUCUAGUUCAUGUUUUCCCAUCCUGUUUCUAAUAUAGAUUUAGCUCCUUUAUUGGUAGUGGAAUACCAUAAAAGAGCAGGAAAAUAUAGAAAAAUAGCCUUGGGAUAAAAAUGAUUGCAGCUCUGCUAUGUUUGCUUAUUGUGAAUUUCUGUUACGUGAACAAAUGAUUCAUGGCACCAUUCUGCUCCCAUUAAAUUCAAUAGAAUAAGAACUCUUUGGCCACUGAUUUCCAAGAUGAAGCCUCUUCUCUUCAAUAUUUAACUUUUCAGAAUAAUGAUAACUUUUGCUUCCUUUGUAAAGUACCAUCCACCUAAACUUCUGCCACCAGAUUUCUGAUUUAUUGCUGUUCUAAUAGUAAGUAUUUUCCCUUUUUUACUUUUUUGAUAAUAUAAAAGCAUAGAAAUGUAGAUGUGGAAGGGAUUCAAGAGCUCUAGUCCAACCCCCUUUACAGUUAGAACUAAAUGUGCCUAAACAGAUGCCUGCUUAACCUUUUCUUCAUGGACAACUGGUGCCGCCUUAGUUUGGGGGGGGGGGGGCAUGUGCCCCCCCUGCAACCAGUCCUGCCAACGGGGGUGGGAGUCCACGACAAGCAAUCCUGUGGACCGGGGGGAAGGGUCCCCUGCGGGCGAUCCUGCAGACUGGGUGGGGCGGGGAUCCCCCAUGGGCAAUCCUGCAACGGCUGAUCUCUAUGGCCAAUUGCUGCAAUUGCUGCAACCACUUCCAGCCACUGCUUUUACAGCCUUCAACAAAGAAAAUGCUACAACAUACCCAUGUAGCCCAUUUUGGUGGCUCACUAUCUUAAGUCUUUGUUCAAGUUAAGCUGAUUUCCUCUUACCAUUGCUUUAGUGGUUAUGGAAAACAAUGUUACCCUUUCUAAUAAACUUUUACAGACUGGAAGACUUAUCAUGACCCUGUUCAAACUUUUCUUUUGUAGAUGUACUAAAUUCCUUCCAUUUUCCUUGGAGGUCACUUUUUAAAUCUCUUAGCAUAGUUGUUGUUCCACUCUGCAUUCAUUCCAGUUUAUCUAUCUUAAAGUUUGGUACAUGAAAUUAGACAGUAUGACAGCUGAAACCUUAUCAGUGCCAAAUUGAGCAGGAUAAUUUUAUCUCCAGUGUCCUAUAAAUGACAGUUCUGUUAACAUGUCCCUGAAUUACAUUCACCUUUUUGCGACAGCGUUAACACUAGUGACUUCUGUGCAGUUUGUGAUCCACCAUAAUCCUCAUAUUUCUUACUGCCAUACUGCAGCCUUGUCAGAUAUUACUCAUUUUGUAUUUGUGCAUUUGAUUUCUCAUUCCUAGGUGUAGCACCCUGUACUUUUCUUUACUGAAUUUCAUCCUCUUGGUAUAAGACCAUUUCUCCAACUUCUCAAGAUCAUUUUGAAUUCUGUUCUCCAAAGUGCUUGAAAACUUGCCUUCCCCAACAGCUUGGUGCCCUUUGCAGCUUUUAUAAACAUUGUUUCCAGUCUGUUGUCAACACUGUUAAGUUGUUGAAUGCACUUAGCCAGAUCCCUGUGGGAUUCUAUUUGAGAUACUCUUCCAACUGACAGCAACACAUUCAUAACUGAUCUUUGAGAAUGUUUUUAUUUUCCAACCAGUUGUGUAUCUAGGCUAUCAUUCUCUAAGUAUGGGCACACAACCAAGUUACCAUUAGACAAGGUAGGAUGCAAAAUUACAUGUUACCUACCUUGUGGUAACUACCAGUAUGCAUGUUCUUAGCCCACGGUAAAUAUGAGAUGGUAUACCCCUAAAAUAAAGUGGGGUAAGCUACCUCACAUUUACUUCAGUGUAAAAGCAUGUACAAAGACAGUUACUGGAGAGUUACUGAAGCAGUACAAGUUCACACCCUGGCUUAUUUCAUGUUAAUGUGUUUAUUGGAUCAUACUAUUUGCUUGCUUAUGAUAAUGUCAUGCAGGGCAGUGUGAAAGGCCAUACUAGAAUCAAGAUAUAUCAUGUAUACUUUUUCCUCUUUAGACAGCAGAUCAAGUACUUUGUCAAAGGAGGAAAUUAGAUGCGUUUCACACAUUCAGAGGCAGAUCCAGAAGGAGUGUGGUAGCAUAGUCACCUCCCCAACUUUUUGCAUCUACUGCAGGAGUAGCAGCUGGGGACUUUUUCAGUCCCCAACUCAGGCCCGGUUGUGUAACGCAUGACUCGCACCUACUCCUUCUAUGUAACUUUGCUCCUGAAUGAAUGGGGAUGAAUGAGGGUGCUUGAGAGACAAUGGCAGUAGGUCUAAAAAUAGCUGCCUCUGAAUGACCAAACCAUCAACACCAAUACCUGGACCAAUGACCCAGCCCUGGGAACCACCCUCAGCAUUCAAGAAACAAAAGAUGAGGCAACCCACCAUUGUGCCAGGCUGCACGUGCUCAGUAAGAACACAUGGAGCCCUCUGGAACAGAACUGUCCUUGCCUGGACAGGCCCUCCCCAUAGGAGAUCAGAGGUAGUCUGCUCCAUAAAAGGGGUAGUGAAGACUGACUCCUUGGGAUGCCUUCUCCAUCUGGACCAGCACUAUGCCACACCACCUAUCUACCCAGAGGCCCUGUUGGUGGCCCCUUCUGGACAACACCUACUGGACAAGGACCCCUUUCCAGCCUGGAUAGGUAGCUAUCACCCCCUACCCCCUCUUCAACCAAGGACUUGGACUCUGCUUCUCUUCCCCACCUGGACUCCAGCCCUUCCACUGAGUCUCUUUCUCCUGCUGCCAUUGUGAGUGCUUGUGUGUGUGAACCAAUAACUUCAUGGGGCUGUGUAGUGUGUUGUCUGUUUAAUAAACCUGUUAUUUUGAAA